rnacentral:misc_RNA from 1 species
UUUCCGUAGGUGAACCUGCGGAAGGAUCAUUCAUAAUAAAGUGUUUUAUGGCACUUUUUAAAAAUCCAUAUCCACCUUGUGUGCAAUGUUAGAUCUCGUCAAUCUUGGCGAGAUUUUUAUACAUCAACUCAUUCUUUAACUAAUUUGUCUGAAAAAUAUUAUGAAUACUUAAUUCAAAAUACAACUUUCAACAACGGAUCUCUUGGCUCUUGCAUCGACGAAGAACGCAGC